AGGGGCGUAGCUCAAUUGGCAGAGCACUGGUCUCCAAAACCAGGGGUUGUGAGUUCGAGUCCCACCGCCCCUGC
rnacentral:tRNA from 1 species